UCGAUUGAAGCAGAGGGCGACCAAAGGAAAACCCCACAACCCUAGUUCUUGUAUAAUCUCUCAAAUUGAAGGUCCAAAUCCAUUCUAAAUCAAAAUCCGAAUACGAAUUAGUGAUCUCCACUGAAAAAGGAGUCACAAGGAAAGGAAGCCGGAACGUCUAAUGGACAAGCCGGUGGUGAAGCACGAUUGAAGGGCUUGCUUUGAAGGUAAUGAUGGGUACUUUCCAGAUGGCGAUCAAGCAUAUUUUGAAGAACCGAACACAAACCUAUCAAGCUUUCGCGUUAAUUUAACUUUGUUUAGACAAUGUUUGUGAUGUAAACAAUUUCACUAAUCAUGUUUUGAAUGUUUAAACUAGUUGGUAGAUGACUAGUAUGUGAUCACUUUAAACUUUGAUUUUGUACUUGUGAUGAAUUAAAG